GCAUCUACCGAUUGAAUGGAGAGGUAAAAUCUCCGGACUAUGACGCGUUGGGGUCAAACCUAAUGCAGUCGUGGGAAGUGGAUUAAACCUUUCCAUUUAGAGGAAGAUGAAGUCGUAACAAGGUUUCCGUAGGUGAACCUGCAGAGGGAUCAAGAUCUGUUGAGCGUCGUGUUGUGAUUGAUUUUUCAUCUCGGUUUUCUCCGUAUCUUUAUAUAACUAUCUUUUUUCUUCACUCUUUUUUCCUUUUCUUUCUUUCUCUCUUUUUCUCUUUUUUUCU
rnacentral:misc_RNA from 1 species